GUAGGUGGCAAGCGUUGUCCGGAAUUAUUGGGCGUAAAGCGCGCGCAGGCGGUUCUUUAAGUCUGAUGUGAAAGCCCACGGCUCAACCGUGGAGGGUCAUUGGAAACUGGAGAACUUGAGUAUAGAAGAGGAAAGCGGAAUUCCACGUGUAGCGGUGAAAUGCGUAGAGAUGUGGAGGAACACCAGUGGCGAAGGCGGCUUUCUGGUCUGUAACCGACGCUGAGGCGCGAAAGCGUGGGGAGCAAACAGGGAUUAGAUACCCUGGUAGUCCACGCCGUAAACGAUGAGUGCUAAGUGUUAGGGGGUUUCCCGCCCCUUAGUGCUGCAGCUAACGCAUUAAGCACUCCGCCUGGGGAGUACGGCCGCAAGGCUG
rnacentral:rRNA from 1 species